rnacentral:rRNA from 1 species
GAUGAACGCUAGCGGCAGGCCUAAUACAUGCAAGUCGAGGGGCAGCAUGGUGUAGCAAUACACUGAUGGCGACCGGCAAACGGGUGCGGAACACGUAGGCAACUUACUCAAAACUGGGGAAUAGUCCGGGGAAAGCCGGCUUAAUACCUCUAAAGAUAAUUGACCGGCAUCAUUUGACUAUGAGAGUCCCGGCGGUCGUGGAUCGGCGUGCGCCUGAUUAGGUAGGUGGCGGGGUAACGGCCCACCAAGCCUACGAUCAGUAACUGGGGGGAGAGCACGACCAGUCACACGGGCACUGAGACACGGGCCCGAAUCCUACGGGAGGCAGCAGUAAGGAAUAUUGGUCAAUGGACGCAAGUCUGAACCAGCCAUGCCGCGUGAAGGAUGAAGGUCCUCUGGAUUGCAAACUUCUUUUAUAUGGGAAGAAAUCCAUCUUUUCUUGGGUGGUUGACGGUACCAUAGGAAUAAGCACCGGCUAACUCCGUGCCAGCCGCCGCUGUAAAAC